CCCUUAGAUGUUCUGGGCCGCACGCGCGCUACACUGAUGCAUUCAACGAGCCUAUCCUUGACCGACAGGUCCGGGUAAUCUUUGAAUGUGCAUCGUGACGGGGAUAGAUUAUUGCAAUUAUUAAUCUUCAACGAGGAAUGCCUAGUAGGCGCAAGUCAUCAGCUUGCGUCGAUUACGUCCCUGCCCUUUGUACACACCGCCCGUCGCUCCUACCGAUUGGGUGUGCUGGUGAAAUGUUCGGAUCGGCCGUUUGUCGCGGUUUCCGCGUCAUGUGGCUGAGAAGUUCAUUAAACCCUCCCACCUAGAGGAAGGAGAAGUCGUAACA
rnacentral:rRNA from 1 species